CCUCCCGGUGGGAAGGCAUCCGGCCCCCCGGCUGAGUUAGGGGUUUAGGCCAGGUCAAAGGCCGGGGAGUGGCAGGGGGGCACCAUCUGAGGUCUUGGGCUGGGACAUAGGCACCCGCCGCCCUAACCAGCGGUGUCUAGCGAGUUUGUUUCCAAGAAGGGUGUCGGCUAUGGAAAAGCAGGACCCACUGGGAAGGCUGGG
rnacentral:lncRNA from 1 species